GGGAGACAUCACAUUUAGAAUUCUCCAAAGCCUGAAGUCAUCCAAAGGCCAAAUAAGAUUGCAUGCCAGGAGUGAUAUCUGAAAGUAGAAAAUAGAACCUUUGGUGUUCCAGUCAAAAUGAAGGGAAGAUGAGAAGUUCUAGGAAGUCAGCGUGAAUCGGCUUUGCGUUCCCUGCCUCCAGACCCUAUUUUCCUGCCUCAUUUGGGAGAAGAUUCUAAUCCAGAACCCGUGGCUCUUCACGCGUACAGAACCAGCUCCACACAGAGACCCCAGAAACCUGCAGAUGGUGCAGUCUCGGGAAAGUUUUGUGAACACAUGGCGAGAAAAUAUCAGUGCCAGAGAAAUAAGUGGGUGAAAGACUCUGUGAGUUUUGGUGAUAUUAUGAUAUGGUUUUGAUUUACUGGUAUUGACUGAAAAUAAAAGAGGGCACAGAUCUUUUCUGAAAGUGAAUUUUACUUUUGUCUCCGUGGACUUGAGAAAAAGAAAGUCACUACAGAGACACUCGCAUCUGCCCAAUCCUGGGAAGCAAGAACCUAUAACACUGCGUUGGCCCUGCUUCAAAAACGAAACAAAGCAACUUCAUAAAUCCUGGGGCUUGGGCUGGUGCUUGUCAUAGGAGGAACCAUGCUGCCCCCUCUAAGAUGUGCAAGGCUCUGGGACAAUGUGCUGGGGGCUUAAUGUAACCUGAGAGGUGGGCGGGGCCAAUCACCUGCCUCAGUCUUGCAGCUGAGCCUAGGUGCAGAGGGGACCCUACCUCCCUGAGGCCAUGCUUGCCAGUAACUGGCAGAGCUGGGAUUUAACUCUCAGAGUGUCUAUCUCCAAAACAUUCUUCUUGUCUAAAUUAGGGAGAAAGAGGCAAACCAG
rnacentral:lncRNA from 10 species